UACGGAGGGUGCGAGCGUUGUCCGGAAUCAUUGGGCGUAAAGGGCGCGUAGGUGGCCCCUCAAGCGUGCGGUGAAAGUCAGGGGCUCAACCCCUGAUCGGCCGUGCGAACUGGGGAGCUUGAGCACUGUAGAGGCAGGUGGAAUUCCGGGUGUAGCGGUGGAAUGCGUAGAGAUCCGGAAGAACACCGGUGGCGAAGGCGGGUCUCUGGGCAGUAACUGACGCUGAGGAGCGAAAGCGUGGGGAGCGAACAGG
rnacentral:rRNA from 1 species